UGGGGAAUAUUGGACAAUGGGCGAAAGCCUGAUCCAGCCAUGCCGCGUGUGUGAAGAAGGUCUUCGGAUUGUAAAGCACUUUAAGUUGGGAGGAAGGGCAGUAAGCGAAUACCUUGCUGUUUUGACGUUACCGACAGAAUAAGCACCGGCUAACUCUGUGCCAGCAGCCGCGGUAAUACAGAGGGUGCAAGCGUUAAUCGGAAUUACUGGGCGUAAAGCGCGCGUAGGUGGUUCGUUAAGUUGAAUGUGAAAGCCCCGGGCUCAACCUGGGAACUGCAUCCAAAACUGGCGAGCUAGAGUAGGGCAGAGGGUGGUGGAAUUACCUGUGUAGCGGUGAAAUGCGUAGAUAUAGGAAGGAACGCCAGUGGCGAAGGCGACCACCUGGGCUCAUACUGACACUGAGGUGCGAAAGCGUGGGGAGCAAACAGG
rnacentral:rRNA from 1 species